rnacentral:rRNA from 1 species
AUACGUAGGGGGCAAGCGUUGUCCGGAAUUACUGGGCGUAAAGGGCGUGUAGGCGGUUUUUUAAGUUAGGAGUGAAAACUCGAGGCUUAACCUCGAGAGUGCUUCUAAAACUGGGAGACUUGAGUGCAGGAGAGGAAGGUAGUAUUCCUGGUGUAGCGGUGAAAUGCGUAGAUAUCAGGAGGAAUACUCGUGGCGAAGGCGGCCUUCUGGCCUGUAACUGACGCUGAGGCGCGAAAGCGUGGGGAGCAAACAGGAUUAGAUACCCUGGUAGUCCACGCCGUAAACGAUGAGUGCUAAGUGUUGGAGGUAUCGACCCCUUCAGUGCUGCAGUUAACGCAUUAAGCACUCCGCCUGGGGAGUACGGUCGCAAGACUGAA